rnacentral:rRNA from 1 species
CACGUAGGGCGCAAGCGUUGUCCGGAAUUAUUGGGCGUAAAGAGCUCGUAGGCGGUUUGUCGCGUCUGCUGUGAAAACCUCAGGCUCAACCUGGGGCUUGCAGUGGGUACGGGCAGACUAGAGUGCGGUAGGGGUGACUGGAAUUCCUGGUGUAGCGGUGGAAUGCGCAGAUAUCAGGAGGAACACCGAUGGCGAAGGCAGGUCACUGGGCCGCAACUGACGCUGAGGAGCGAAAGCAUGGGGAGCGAACAGG